CAGGAAAGUGGGAAGUGCCCCUAUAAACUUCCGGUGUAGGCGAAGUUUUCGUUCAUCUCAAGUAAAGUUCACAUUUCAAAGAUCAAACUUUUGUUGUCGGCUGGUAUUAUACAGACAAUUUAUAAAUCAAAGUAUAUUUCAAUGUCUAGAGUUACAUUACGUUUUCUCUAGUUGCUAUAAAGAGCUGCUUAACCUGGAAGGUGAGUUGCUUUUCUCUGCUGUGUUUUAAUAUAAAUGAACUGCCAUGGACGUUGUUUGAAAUACUCAUGUUAAUCUUUUGGAUUUUAAUAUUGGUUUGUAUAUAUAAUCGUUUGUUGUAAAAAGAACAGUUCCAAAAUGCUAUAUGUUUCCCUGACAGGCUUUCCUUUUUGUAUAAAUCUACCCUCAAUCGUCCUUGUCGUUCGUGAGUAAUGUUUUAUAGCGUGAACGAAAACAAAUUCGCUUGCAUAAUUCACUUUAAAUUAAUACGUUUGUUUAUAGUAAUUAGGUGUUUUGGUUACGAAAGGAAAUAGACAUUUUAAUCUUUCUAGAAUUUUAUACUAGGUAAGGUAAUAUUUGUUCGUAUGGACAAACUCUAUUGUGCUUAUAAACCAGUACAUUCUGGAAUUUUAAUACAUCAAGUAUGUGUACAAGCUGUCAAAAAUCAGAGCACAUAAAUAUUCAGUAAUGAUCAUGACACUAUAUUAUGUGCAGUUUAAUGAUCUGCUCUUAUGAGUCUGCUUAGCUAGCCCUACCACAAACCAAAUAUCAUACCUACUUAUUGUUAUGCUGGAUAUCUCCGGCAUAAAUUGUUCUUGGUAUUUAGACCAGUGGCAUAAAUCUUACUAAUAAAAAAAAUACCUUUAACAAUUUUGCUGUAUUUGUGUAAUAUUGUGAUCUUAUUGAUUGACUGGUUGUGCUACCAUCAGGAAUUAUGAUUGCCGAUUAAUAAGGCGACCAAUGCUGAUUUUAUAAUGGCGUCAUAUUGUCCUGGUUACAAUGACUUUAUUGGAUUAAAUGAACAACUUAUACAUACAGUACAUAGAAUAUGGCAUUAUAAUAGAUUACACUCAGGGCUGCCGAGAGAAUUCGUGGGGCCCAGGGGAAAUCUUCCCUGGGGGCCCCAUGAGUCGUGACAUAUAUUUUUAAGUUAGACCCAACUAGACCUUAGCUGUCUAGACUGCAUCCACAGGUACUGUAAGGGGCCCCCAAUUUCAAAAAUUCUCUGACCAAUUUAAAGAACCUACUCAAUUUUAGGCUCUCACUCUCAAGUUGGGGCCCUAUUAAGAUGGAGGCCCUGGGCAAUUUUCCCGGCGGCCCAGAUUACACUACGGUACCCAUGCUUUGCUUUGGUUUGCAACUUUAUUUAAAGAGGGUAACACUUUGACAGUAAUAUAAGUAAAACUGAUGCAAGGUACCUUACCAAAAAAAUAAUAUGUACAUAAUAUAUAGAAUAAACAGCUAACAAUAUGAACACUAACAAUGUUCAGUUCAUACAAUGACAGACAAGGACAAUCACACGAAAUAGACCAAGUUGUCCAAGUACAUAACAGAAUCCCGUACAUCAAAUACAGUAGAAACUAAAAACAUAGAAUAAGAAUUAUUAAAGUACUGUUUAAAUGUUCUGACACUAGAGAAAGUAUUUGGAGGAGCUACUUUGCAAACACUGGAGUGUUCCAUAAUUGUACUAUCCUGUUGAAACUUAAGUUCUCACUGAUAUGCAGUGGUGUUACAUAAAGGAGUCUUAUUUUAUUUUUAUUUUAUUUUAUUUUACAAGAUUCGCCAAACAUAACAGACAUAAAUAAGACUAAUACUUUACAAAAUUUACAUACAAUUCGGGCAGGGACUAGCCACAGAGAUAAUCUCCAAUUAUGGGGUCCCUUACAAUAAGUUACAAUAUAUAACAUUAAAACAAAUUAUAAUGCUAAAUUGUCAACAACAUGUCCUCACUAAUAAGCUAUCAAGAGACCGAGUUGAGUGGCAUUUGACGCAAACUGACUUAAAUGUUUUAGGAUUGUCAGUCUUGAGCAUCAGAUUUGGAUUCAGAGCUAGGCGAGAACAAUUGUGGGUGACAAUCUGACAUACAGUAGUUGUGGAUGUUGAGGUCAGAGAUACCAUAAAGAAUCUUGUAGAAGAAAACUAGAUUGUUCAUUUCUCUGUUGUUUACAACACAAGGGUAACAUUUCUAAAUUAUUGAGUCGCUCAAUGUAGC